AGAGAGAGGCAAGGACAAGAAGCAGAAAGGAGAAUUGAGUGUAGGAAGUGGCAAGGAGAGAUAUGGCCAUAUCUUAGGCACUCAGACAUCGUGCCUUUAGGUACAGUUCCUGUGGAUUUUAUUAAUAUGAAAAUAUAUUUGCAGUGGGCCUUGGGUGGAUGAUGUUUUCAGUUAUAUCAGUUGUUUAAUAGAUCAUUUUGUUGGAUUGCAGAAAGGAGAAAUGCACAUUAUAACCUUGGAAUGCUUGUGCAAAGCUGACUGAUCAAGAUUAGGCAUUCUGUGCAAUCAUAUUACAUAUUAUAAUAUAUUAAAAUGGAAUAAUAUCAAAAUAUUUCACCUAAUUUGGAAUGUCUAUGACUUAAAUAGUGAAAUAAGCCGUAUUGUUCUGCAAAUAAUAGUGAUGCACAAAGCAAAAUUGUCUUAACUGCUCUUUAAGUGAUAAAAGUGCAGUGAUGAAGAUGAAACAAACAUAAUUCUUGAGUGUUAGGUUGAUCGCAUCUUGAAGUGUUAUUUGAAUCAGACAUAUUUGGAUAUGCCCCCCUAAACAUAAACAUGUGAGAAAGGUGAGACACACAGGUGAUGUCAGCAUAGGGGAGGAGGUGAGGGAAUGGGGGAGAGAGAGGAGGGGACAUGGCCUUGAGGCACUCUGAGGUAAACAGAGCGAGAGAAGGAGUGAUGGAAGGCUGAAGAGGAGGGGAGUCUCUGAGGUAAACACAAUGGGAGCCGUGAUCUCUGACGGCGGAUAUCUGAUCCUCAGAAGCCAGCAGGAGGCCACAGGUUCAGAUUACUGCCUGCUACCUGUCUGCUGCAGAACAUCUCUUCACACACACUGUAGGAACAUACACUGCAUACUGUGCUCAAGUAUGAGCUGAAAAACAUCACCCAGCAUGUCAGUCAAGCAGCAAUAAAUUAACCCAGCGUGAAUGCAAACAUCUAAUGCUGCUUUUGUUGGGAGAAUCUAGGAGCCAUGUGAAGCUAAUCCUCGGCUGAACGUUUGAGGCAUGCAGGUUUCGGUUUGUUGUGUGUCAUUUCACUCAAUGCUUAUUUCCAGUUGCAGGGAGGACAGGAACCAGAUGAACAUCCUUUAAUUGGGUGUCAAACUUAUUAAAAUGAAAAACAAUAGCUGUGUCCCAUUUAAAUAUGCCUCCCUUCUUACCACAUCUACACAAGUUUGGAUUUUGUUGUAUAUUCACAUGGGAAAAGUGACAAAAAUUCAGUAUGGAUAAUAAAACUUUUUGACAUGUCACAGAAGGAAAAUCCCAGUUAUAAAUUUUAAAAUGAAUGAUGGCUGAAUUCUAGUCAGCAGCUUUGGUUUCAGGAGCUGUUGUUAGUGUUAUUAGUACCACGUGUGCUUUUCCCUCCAUGACAAGUCAAAAUGUCUGCUGCGACAAAGGAGUACUGUCUGAAAAAGCAAUCCACAAAUAAAAUAGAGGCUUCACACAGCUGCAGCAAAUUGAAACGAAUUGUGGGUGGUGACAAGAGAGCUUCAGGAAGAUUUAAAAAGAAUGAAGAAAUAUGUGUUGAAUUUUUUCGGCUCCUUUUUGUGAAGUAUAGUUGACAUAGUUUGAUGCAUGAUUUCCUGUUGGUGCGACACCAUAUGUAUGUAAGUAUGUUCUUUUGUACCAAACGCAAAAAACAGUACACCAAGACAAUUAGUAUUUACUGUAAUACAUACUGUAUAUUACUGGUAUGCAGUGUGCCAUUGAGACACAGUGUUGAUUUCUUGUAUAAUAGGUUAACUAAACAGUAAACUGUGUAAAUGAUGCCAUGUGGAACUGGGACACAGAGAAUGUUUAUGCAUACAGACCGAGUUAAAAAUCCUCUUCACACAUGUUUUAAGUCAUAUAAGAAAAUACUCUUAAAUCAACUUGUGUCUGAUAUGUUUUUUUGUUUUUGUUUUUUCACAAAAACGUUAAGUUACCUCGUUAAACAUUCUUAAUAAUAACAUCUACGAUCCAGAAUCUAUGCAAAUAUUUUUCAUUUCAGUAGUGGACACAAGAUGGCUCCUACUUCACUGAAAAGUCUAUUCUUUGUGUGCACUGAAGUUUUCACAGUUUCUUAACUGGUUUCUAAACUAGUUGUGACAUCACAAAAUCAUGCUCGUACAUUCCCGUCUCAAACUCAGGUCAGCAGAUGAAUGUGAAAACAGCCUUAGUGUCAAACUCUGCACGUACAUCAUCCUGCAUAGUCAAACAUCCAAGUGAAGGAACAGUACGCAAAACACACUUUUGAGUGGAGGGGAACUUUAAGGGUUAAGGAAUAAAUUCAGUCUGCAGAGGCGUCUCUAUGUUUCUGCUCCUUUGUAGCUUUUUGUUGUCUCAACAAACAGGAAUUCCAAGGCAACAGCUUCUCAAAAAAAAAAGAAGCCCAAAAGGCAUGAACAAAUGCUGCCAAUACUCGAGUAGAGUUGAUAAAGUAACACAGCAGCAUGGGAUGAGGCCUUGCUGCAGGAUUUCCAGUGAGCGUUGGAAACUACCACGAGGCAGCGGUGGCCACAAGACGGGUAAUGAUGAUGGGUGCCUGGGGUGAUGUUGUUGUAAGUAACUGUAGAAGCUGGUAAAAUCUCCCAUCUGACACAGAUGUCACACCUCAAUGCUCACACUAGACACACACAAAGACAUACAGAGAUAGACAGAGACAGAUAGAAAGACACACACACACACACACACACACACACACACACACACACAUCUCAAAAGAAGGACGAUGCCAAUUAGGACUUCUGCUGCAUUAACCUAAUUACUGGGUGAGUGAGAGCAGAACACACUCGUGGUCAGGCACCCAAACCUGGGAUUCUGUUUCAUGUCUCCCAGCCAUGCCAGCACGCACACACACACACACACACACACCCACACAGAGGCAUACACACAACUUUUUCCUACAUACAAGUGAGCAUCUGUCAUCAGCAUGCUGUUCAUUAUUAUUUAAUAGGUUACUAUAAUUGUCCCAACACCUUCCUAACACCCUCUAUACAACCAACAGCAGCAAGGCAGCAGGCAGACCAGUGUCUGUAUGUGUGUGUUUUUAUCUGUGUAGGCCAUAUAUCAAAACACUUGACAGGCCACCAUCCAUUAGCGUCUCUUCCAAGUGUAAUGAGAUGAACAUGAAACCAAGAAGGCUUCGGUCAGAACUGGAGGCAUCAGGGCCACAGAAUUACAAAUGGGUAGAAAGGAACAUGUAGUAGGGUUUGUCCGAUAAGAGCAAAAGGCUCCCCUAGCUGGGAGUGUCUCUGUGCGUAUGUGCUGAGUACACAUCAGGCUACAGCUUCUGAGCACAUGUUCUGCAUUCAGAUUCAGAGGGUGGAGAUAGUGAUUACAAUGACUCAAGUGUAAUGAACGGUUGUGUGCGGCUCAGUGUGUUGUUUUAUUUACAUUACAGGUCCUUUUGUGGUAUUUUGACUCAUUUGUGGGUUUUUUUACUGCAAUUUUGCAAUGUACACACAUUAAGUGGUUCCCGACCAUUUGGGAUUGUGACUUCUUAAAACAAUGUGUAGUUGUGACUCAUCAUCACUUAUUUUAGGCCCAAAGAGGAGAUAAAAUCUAGUAAUUCAUAAGGGAUAAAGCAAAGAUAAGAGGAACAUCUGAAAAAGAAAUAACUAUAUAUGCAGUAUAUAUAUUUUUAUGUACGAUUAUGUUUUUUCUCCUUUCCUAUACAGUGUCAUCCCUCCGAUUUUUCUUGUCAAUCCACAGGAUGGUAAUUAAUUCACUGGUUUUAAAUGGGGUUAUUUUAUGUUUAUGGUAUAAGUAAUAUGACAAACUGAGGAGUGCUUUCUGUUUUGCAGAAUUCAAGACUUAAUUAUGUGGUAAAUGAUUUAUUUGCUGUCUUUUCUUAUCUCAUCCAUAUCCUUCUCAGUGCUGUCAUUUGUUGUUUUAGGAUUAUCUGUUUGUCUGAUGUUAUCAUGUUCUGUCUCCUUUUCAUGCUGCAAAAACCUCGAUGGGACCUGCCUGGUUAUAUAGAGGUUGAUUAAAAACAAAUAAAAUCUGUCUUUUGUCAUUAUAUAUUGUGUUUCGUGUCAUGACCUGAAUGGACUACAUGUGAACUUCUGUGCAUGGAACUCCCCAAAUUAAUCAAGUGAAACAUGAAUAUUGCUCAGACGUUGGUGAAACUCUCAGUGCAGUCAGUGUUGCAACUAUAAGACAAGUACAAACCAGUUUACAAGUAAGUCAGGCAAGGCUACACAAACCACCCAACCCACCCUUCUCCACUCCGCCACCUGGAACAGGCUACCAAACAAUUUUAUAUCUGAUGUCUCAAUUUGUCAGUUUAUAAAAGACAGACCACAGACCACACAGGUCAUUAUUAUUCUGUACUGGCACCGGAUAGUUCAUGAGCAUUGAUUAAUCCCAGUGACCAAUCAGUUCCACCCUGCUCUCGUUGUUUGCGCUAGGUGUGACUGACUGACUCACUUCCUUCAUGAGCAUGUUACCUGUCAUCGCCCAGGUCGCAAUUUCUCCUCCAUUAACUACACCUGGAUGAAGCCAUUCGAGUCCCGCUACCGGAGUCUUAUCAUAACGUUAAUAAUUCAGAUCAGAGCCAAAUUUGACCGCCGCUUCAAUGAUUACACUAUGACUGUUUAACUGGCAUCGGCGCAAAUGCUAAAACUGCAGCGCCGUGCGUAACGGAGAUGUCAGGGGCUUACCCGAGUCCCCGCAUUUACAUUUAGCCUGAACUAAUCCUGACAAUUUGUAGAGCGACCAGAGGCAGGACUGACACACAGCAAAUAAAUAAGUAAACGAGAGUCGGGAAUCCGGUGUCCCUGGAAGUGUAAAGGGAUUGGGGUUAGAUUACCAAAAAGGAGAACCCGAUCCAGAGCCACCAAGCUGGGUAGUGACAACAGAGACGCUCGCAAAUUAUACAAAAUUGAUGACAUAGUGAAGGAAAUAAGCUAAACUGAUCAUUUUCUAAUUUGCCCGGAAAACAGUUUGGACCCAUCAGUGUAACAGACUAAUGAACCAUAAAGUCCAGACAGCACAGAGAGCCCUGCACAAAGGGCGUGUGCCUGGGAGAGAAGGAAUGUGGAAAGAGGCGCAGCUUGAGCAACAGCAGCAGCUUUCAGCAACAUUUCCGUUGAUCAAGACAACUGAACGAGUCUUUGUGAUGUUGUUUAAUAUAUAUUUUCAGUUCGAUAGCCUGUCUGUUUAUAUUUUAAUAUUCAUCUAUGCGUUUUUUUUUUGCUGACACACUUUCUCAACAUGUAGGAACAAGCGUGAGCUCAUGUGUAAGUACGUGUGUGUGUGUGUUCAAAGCUUUCCCAACAGAGAUGUAUCGAUGCCACACCCUGAAACUUCACUUGUGUAAACAAUAGCGUUCACUAGGUAGGAAACUUUUUGAACAAACUAACAAUGAAGACCUGCUUUUUUGUUUUGUUUUUUACACUUCAUUUUUAUUUUAUUACCAGCAUGAAACAUCAAAUCUUACUCCACCAACACCACGCCCCUGUCUAUGUCCUGGAAAGAGGUGUGUUUUCCAAAAAAAAAAAAAAAUUAGAGGA